UACGUAGGGGGCUAGCGUUGUCCGGAAUCAUUGGGCGUAAAGAGCGUGUAGGCGGUCCGGUAAGUCCGCUGUGAAAGUCGGGGGCUCAACCCUCGAAUGCCGGUGGAAACUAUCUUGCUAGAGUGUCGGAGAGGAUAGGGGAAUACCCAGUGUAGAGGUGAAAUUCGUAGAGAUUGGGUGGAACACCAGUGGCGAAGGCGCCUGUCUGGCUGACAACUGACGCUGAGACUCGAAAGCAUGGGGAGCAAACAGG
rnacentral:rRNA from 1 species